UGGGGAAUAUUGGACAAUGGGCGAAAGCCUGAUCCAGCGACGCCGCGUGAGUGAUGAAGGCCUUCGGGUUGUAAAGCUCUGUUGAGGGAGAAGAAAACAGUUAGAACUAACAUGUCUAGCUCUUGACGGUAUCCCUUUAGAAAGCACCGGCUAACUCUGUGCCAGCAGCCGCGGUAAGACAGAGGGUGCAAACGUUGCUCGGAAUUACUGGGCGUAAAGCGUGCGCAGGCGGCCUUGCAAGUCGGGCGUGAAAUCCCACGGCUCAACCGUGGAAGUGCACUCGAAACUGCUCGGCUAGAGUCUUGGAGAGGAAGGCGGAAUGCUUGGUGUAGAGGUGAAAUUCGUAGAUAUCAAGCGGAACACCGGUGGCGAAGGCGGCCUUCUGGACAAUGACUGACGCUAAAACACGAAAGCGUGGGGAGCAAA
rnacentral:rRNA from 1 species